UCGAGAAUCUUUCGCAAUGGGCGAAAGCCUGACGAAGCGACGCCGCGUGUGUGAUGAAGGCCUUAGGGUUGUAAAGCACUUUCGCCUGGGAGUAAGAAAGCUUGGCUAAUAUCCAAGCAAUUUGAGAGUACUAGGUAAAGAAGCACCGGCUAACUCCGUGCCAGCAGCUGCGGUAAUACGGAGGGUGCAAGCGUUAAUCGGAUUUAUUGGGCGUAAAGGGCGUGUAGGCGGAAAGGAAAGUUAGAUGUUAAAUCUUGAAGCUCAACUUCAAGUCAGCAUCUAAUACUAUCUAUCUAGAGGACAGACGGAGAAAAGGGAAUUCCACAUGUAGCGGUGAAAUGCGUAGAUAUGUGGAAGAACAUCAGUGGCGAAGGCGCUUUUCUAGUUUGAUCCUGACGCUGAGGCGCGAAAGCAAGGGGAGCAAACA
rnacentral:rRNA from 1 species